rnacentral:rRNA from 1 species
GGGUCAGUAGGUUGGUCGUGCCACCGGUACGUACUGGUCUCACUGAUUCCUCCUUCCUGAAGAACCGUAAUGCCAUUAAUUCGGUGUUGCGGGGAAGCAGGACUGUUACUUUGAAAAAAUUAGAGUGUUUAAAGCAAGCUAACGCUUGAAUACAUUAGCAUGGAAUAAUGAAAUAGGACGAUCGAUCCUAUUUUGUUGGUUUCUAGGAUUGACGUA